CUGCAACCCGACUCCGUGAAGCUGGAUUCGCUAGUAAUCGCGCAUCAGCCAUGGCGCGGUGAAUACGUUCCCGGGCCUUGUACACACCGCCCGGUCAAGCCAUGGGAGCCGGGAGUGCCUGAAGGCCGUGACCGCAAGGAGCGGCCUAAGGUAAAACUGGUGACUGGGGCUAAGUCGUAACAAGGUAAC
rnacentral:rRNA from 1 species